rnacentral:lncRNA from 12 species
GUUUUGUCUUGCUGCUGAACCUCUGGCAACUUAUUGUACCCCUUGGAGAGCUCCCUAUUCAGUUUUUGGGAGCACUGAAAGUUAGGGAAAGAUAUUUUAUAUUGCCAGACCACUAGAACUCAGCAGAAUUAUGUGAC